GACGAACGCUGGCGGCGUGCUUAACACAUGCAAGUCGAACGCUGAAGCUCAGCUUUUGUUGGGUGGAUGAGUGGCGAACGGGUGAGUAACACGUGAGUAACCUGCCCCCUUCUUUGGGAUAACGCCCGGAAACGGGUGCUAAUACUGGAUAUUCACUGGUCUUCGCAUGGGGGUUGGUGGAAAGGGUUUUUCUGGUGGGGGAUGGGCUCGCGGCCUAUCAGCUUGUUGGUGGGGUGAUGGCCUACCAAGGCUUUGACGGGUAGCCGGCCUGAGAGGGUGAACGGGCACAUAGGGACUGAGAUACGGCCCAGACUACUACGGGAGGCAGCAGUGGGGAAUAUUGCACAAUGGGCGCAAGACUGAUGCAGCGACGCCGCGUGAGGGAUGGAGGCCUUCGGGUUGUGAACCUCUUUCGCCCAUGGUCAAGCCGCAACAAUGGUUGUGGUGAGGGUAGUGGGUAAAGAAGCGCCGGCUAACUACGUG
rnacentral:rRNA from 1 species